UACGGAGGGGGCAAGCGUUGUUCGGAAUUACUGGGCGUAAAGGGCGCGCAGGCGGCUGCUCAAGUCAGGCGUGAAAGGCCUGGGCUCAACCCGGGAAUUGCGCUUGAGACUGGGCUGGCUUGAGUGCGAGAGGAUGGUGGAAUUCCCAGUGUAGAGGUGAAAUUCGUAGAUAUUGGGAAGAACACCGGUGGCGAAGGCGGCCAUCUGGACCGCAACUGACGCUGAGGCGCGAAAGCGUGGGGAGCAAACAGG
rnacentral:rRNA from 1 species